AAAUUUAGGUUAUAAUAAACCAAGGACCUUCAAAGCCCUAAAUAGGCCCUAAUUUCUG
rnacentral:tRNA from 1 species